rnacentral:rRNA from 1 species
AGUGAACGCUGGCGGUAGGCCUAACACAUGCAAGUCGAACGGCAGCACAGUAAGAGCUUGCUCUUAUGGGUGGCGAGUGGCGGACGGGUGAGGAAUACAUCGGAAUCUACUUUUUCGUGGGGGAUAACGUAGGGAAACUUACGCUAAUACCGCAUACGACCUACGGGUGAAAGCAGGGGAUCUUCGGACCUUGCGCGAUUGAAUGAGCCGAUGUCGGAUUAGCUAGUUGGCGGGGUAAAGGCCCACCAAGGCGACGAUCCGUAGCUGGUCUGAGAGGAUGAUCAGCCACACUGGAACUGGGACACGGUCCAGACUCCUACGGGAGGCAGCAGUGGGGAAUAUUGGACAAUGGGCGCAAGCCUGAUCCAGCCAUACCGCGUGGGUGAAGAAGGCCUUCGGGUUGUAAAGCCCUUUUGUUGGGAAAGAAAAGCAGCAGGUUAAUACCCCGCUGUUCUGACGGUACCCAAAGAAUAAGCACCGGCUAACUUCGUG